GAUGAACGCUAGCUACAGGCUUAACACAUGCAAGUCGAGGGGUAACGAGAGGAAAGCUUGCUUUCCUUGUCGACGACCGGCGCACGGGUGAGUAACGCGUAUCCAACCUGCCCCCAACUAAGGAAUAACCUUGCGAAAGUAAGACUAAUACCUUAUAAUUUCCUCAGAUGACAUCUGACGAGGAAUAAAGAUUUAUCGGUUGUGGAUGGGGAUGCGUCUGAUUAGCUUGUUGGCGGGGUAACGGCCCACCAAGGCAACGAUCAGUAGGGGUUCUGAGAGGAAGGUCCCCCACAAUGGAACUGAGACACGGUCCAAACUCCUACGGGAGGCAGCAGUGAGGAAUAUUGGUCAAUGGGCGGAAGCCUGAACCAGCCAAGUAGCGUGCAGGAUGACGGCCCUAUGGGUUGUAAACUGCUUUUAUACAGGAAUAAAGUUAGCCACGUGUGGUUAUUUGUAGGUACUGUAUGAAUAAGGACCGGCUAAUUCCGUGCCAGCCGCCGCAGUAA
rnacentral:rRNA from 1 species